UACAGAGGUCCCAAGCGUUGUUCGGAUUCACUGGGCGUAAAGGGUGCGUAGGUGGCCUGGUAAGUUUGAUGUGAAAGCUCGGAGCUUAACUCCGAAAUGGCAUUGAAUACUACUGGGCUUGAGGGUCGGAGGGGAGACUGGAAUUCUCGGUGUAGCAGUGAAAUGCGUAGAUAUCGGGAGGAACACCAGUGGCGAAGGCGACUACCUGGCCCAUUCUUGACGCUGAGGCGCGAAAGCUAGGGGAGCGAACGGG
rnacentral:rRNA from 1 species